rnacentral:lncRNA from 1 species
AUGGCAUGUCUAAGAUCACCUAAAAUUCUAUGCAGAAGAAGUAAUCUCAGAGCUACGAGUUACAGAACUGUAAGAAAUAAAAACUCAGGACUAAAUCACUUUUUAAAAGGCACCGAACUGAAUGCUUCUUAUUUGUUUGUGAAAAAGAGACAUCUAGUGGGCAAAUAUAUUAACUGCAGCAAAACAAAGCACAGGACCAUUUUUGCUGUCAAGUAUCAGAUGCAGAACUGCGCUGAAUAUAUUAUCACUUUGAUACUUAAUGUUCAUGUUAAUUUUUUUUUAGAACACAAGAUCAGUGUGCAAGCCAGCAUCAUAUCUAGAAAUAUACAUAACAUAUCAUGACAAUUCUGAAAGCUCCAGAGAAAGGAUGAAAUAUUCGCUCUUGAGUAUUCCAAUGAUUUGAGCAAUGAUUAGAGUGAACGAGACAUUCUGUCAGGAAAACUGAAUUGCAUCAGACUGAAGGAUAGUUAUGUAACAGCAUAUAGGCUGUGUCUCUGUUAACUCUCCUGGGAUGCCUCCUCAAGGGGCUAAGCUGUCACGACUUCCCUUGCAGCAGCACAAGUUACCCUGUGAACAGCACACCAUUUCAGCAAAUGGUGUGAAUGCUGUUUGAAGUCUCUUUGCAUGAAGGCUGCAAUUUUGCACUUUNCUGAAGAGGACCUUGAUUUUUGCAUCAUUGAACACCUACGUACUUCGAAAUAGAGACACAGCAGUCUGGCGAACUCCUGGCAGAUCAGUACAACAAGUGGGGAGUAUGGAGUCUAGGAAUUCAGUAGGCAAUCGAUCUUAAAUGCCUCCAGGGACAGCUGCUGCUGUAAGGCAUCAUAAAAUCCCAGUUACACACCUGACUCUUGGUUGCCCUGGUCUCUAUGGCAACAGUACAGUGGGAAUCAUGGAGUCCUAAUUCCUAACAUGCAGCAAGGCUUUGGAAGAGAAGAGACUCAUCCCUAGAAUGACCUCAGCAUAGUGGGUUACCUGCAGCUUUCUGGAAUGAAAACAUACAACCAACAGUCACUUCAGUUCUAUAGACAAGACUUAGUAGGGUAAGAGUCAAUGAUCUCAAGGAGACAGAAGAAGAAAUGGAACUUGUGGGCCAGAGGACAAAAGGACACUNUACAGGGGCAUAGAAUGAUGACCCUUGAUGAGAGUACAUGCACAAUGGAAGGAGGCACUUAUACCCCAAAAUAGGAUGUGGGGACAGAUAUUUGGGCAAAAACAGGGGUAAACCAAAGGGUGACCAAUAACCAGACUUUCCUAGACCAGGUAAACAAAUUGCAGUGAUUAAAUCAGCUAUUCAGUUGGGUAUCNACAUUAGCAUAUUAAGCUAGCAGCUCUCUUUUCCCAAGGCAGUAACACUGUUNUUCAAGUGGUAUCUUCCUGCUGAAAGUUGAUGGGAUUAAGUUGUCCUGUGGCACAAACAAUUACACAAAAGAGAGUUUUCAGCAGAAAGUAGGCAACAUCAAAGAAUAAAGUCAACAGACCAAAGUUUGUGUGGAGUGAU